AGGGAAUCUUCGGCAAUGGACGGAAGUCUGACCGAGCAACGCCGCGUGAGUGAAGAAGGUUUUCGGAUCGUAAAGCUCUGUUGUAAGAGAAGAACGAGUGUGAGAGUGGAAAGUUCACACUGUGACGGUAUCUCACCAGAAAGGGACGGCUAACUACGUGCCAGCAGCCGCGGUAAUACGUAGGUCCCGAGCGUUGUCCGGAUUUAUUGGGCGUAAAGCGAGCGCAGGCGGUUAGAUAAGUCUGAAGUUAAAGGCUGUGGCUUAACCAUAGUACGCUUUGGAAACUGUUUAACUUGAGUGCAAGAGGGGAGAGUGGAAUUCCAUGUGUAGCGGUGAAAUGCGUAGAUAUAUGGAGGAACACCGGUGGCGAAAGCGGCUCUCUGGCUUGUAACUGACGCUGAGGCUCGAAAGCGUGGGGAGCAAACAGGAUUAGAUACCCUGGUAGUCCACGCCGUAAACGAUGAGUGCUAGGUGUUAGACCCUUUCCGGGGUUUAGUGCCGUAGCUAACGCAUUAAGCACUCCGCCUGGGGAGUACGACCGCAAGGUUG
rnacentral:rRNA from 1 species